rnacentral:rRNA from 1 species
AGAGUUUGAUCCUGGCUCAGGACGAACGCUGGCGGCGCGCCUAACACAUGCAAGUCGAACGAGCAAGAGAGAGCUUGCUUUCUCGAGCGAGUGGCGAACGGGUGAGUAACGCGUGAGGAACCUGCCUCAAAGAGGGGGACAACAGUUGGAAACGACUGCUAAUACCGCAUAAGCCCACGACCCGGCAUCGGGAAGAGGGAAAAGGAGCAAUCCGCUUUGAGAUGGCCUCGCGUCCGAUUAGCUAGUUGGUGAGGUAACGGCCCACCAAGGCGACGAUCGGUAGCCGGACUGAGAGGUUGAACGGCCACAUUGGGACUGAGACACGGCCCAGACUCCGUACGGGAGGCA